GGAACUUUUCCGAGAAUCCCUAAAAACGGGCGUUAUCAAGUCACGCUAAGUCAUGGUGUCAAUCAAGUUCAUACUAAACCCCUGCAAGAGUUAAAUUCAUUGACUGAGAAACGAAAAAGAAGCGAGACUGGGAAAUUUAGCGUCACGUUUCUUUCAUGUUUCUUGCACGAUGGACUAAGAGAAAAGAGGGGAUGCUCAUAGUACAGACAGCCUUUGGACUCGUCUCGCAUUCUUCCACCAAGAUAGCCCCUUCCAGGCGUUCAGUUAGUUGGGACACAGUGCAAAAUUCAGCGGAGUGAAAUAAGGGAGAGAGACGCUUAGUGCGAGGAGCGAACGAACGUUAAGUUCUCUUCCCUUGCCGCGUAGGUUCGAUUUCCGCCGCUCUCUCGGGUUCGCGUGACUUUUCGCACCGCGCUUCUCCCCUAUUUUUUCGUGCGCCAUUUUGCGUGCGCCAAUUUUCGUGCGCCCCAACUAAGUGAAACGGCCCAGAAGAGACUACCCCCAAGAAGGGAGGAAGAUCUGUGAUUUUAAAAUUUCAGUUUUUUCCGGAGUAUAGUAACAGCUAAUCCUGGGAAGUGUGCCAUAGCCUUUCCUGUAAAUCAGUGCCGGAACACUCUGGUACCAAAAUACGCAUUAAUUUACAACCCUUAAAAGGUUUGACGAGCAUUCCCUACUGUCAAGGAGUCUCCCAGAAAAUUGGUAAUGGUAUUGCUCUGGACUCACUUCAAUUCUGCCGAUCUGAUUUGUUUUCUUGAUGUUAUUUUCCACAGACUCUCUUCUGACAGCGCCGCAAUUAUUCGAUGCUUGUCUGGAUCUGGGGUCGAUACAUCGUCUGCUUAAAGAACUAAACAAGGCGGAACAGUUGUAUCAGAAGGCCUGGGAAAUUGCUGUGUCCAUGAAGGAUUUUAAAAAAGAAACCUUAGCUAAGAUACAUCUUGCAGUCUGCCUUCUCGAUCGUGGAGAACUAAAAGAGGCCAUUAACACCUACUUUGAGCCGCUGAUGGUGUUUAAAACCGCCAUGAAAAAGCACACAAGAGCUCUUUAUCUACACUACUAUGGUGGUGCAUGCCGGUCUGCGGCAGACUGGGGCAGAGCUAAAGAGUAUCUCCGGGAGGCCCUGGAUCUAGCAAAAGAAGUGAAGGAUGUCGGGCUUGUGUCGAGCUGCUGUGGUGAGCUGGGUAAUGUUUUCAGAUCGGAAGGAAGAUACAAAGAUGCAGAGAGACUUCACACAAUUCAUCACAACUUCGCUUUGAACAGAGGAGAUGUUCAUGGCCUGGCAAUCUCCUGCGGUAAUAUCGGCUUCUUGAAGUUUUACAAUCCUGAGGAGUUUGACGAUUCUGUAAUGUACCAGUUCAUUGAAUACUCUCUUGCUGAACAAGUGGGUGAUUUUGCUCGCACGGGCAUCGCAUUCAACAAAAUUGGAAAGCUUUAUACAACAAUAGGCUACAACGAAGAAGCCGUUACCAUGUUUCAAAUUGCACUGAAUGUCUCUCGAAGGGCCAGCAACGUCGCAGGUGAAGGAAUGGCGUGGGGAAAUCUAGGCACAGUUUACAGAGCGUUGGAAAGAUUCGAAGACGCUAUCGCUUGCCAUAUAAAAUACAGAGACAAUGCUGAAAGACGGAUGGACAUCGGUGGAGUAGCCAUCAUGCAGCAUCAGUUAGCAAUGGAUUAUCUGCUGAGUGGAAAGCUACCAGAAGCAGAGAGAUCCAUUCUCAACGCGUUUGAAACCCUGGAAAAGAUCCGUGCACAGAUCGGCGAGGAAGACAAAUCAAAGCUGUCGAAUUUUGAGAAGAAUCAAGCCGAAGCAUACAACCUGUUACAAGUUGUUCUCGUCGCCCAACUGAAGUAUAAAGAGGCGUUAGUAUUGGCGGAUACCAGCCGAGGAAGAGCACUGGCCGAAAUUGUUCGUAAGCGAUUACACGGAGAUAAAUCCGCUGAAAAAGAAACGACUUCUCUGAAUGAAGAAUUUAUAGAAGAAUCCUUCAAUAACCUGCUGGAAGUCAGUCGUAAACUCAUCACAACGUUGGUUUUUUACUCCGUGGUGAAAGAAUUUGACGAGUCUGGAGCGUUCUACAGUUGGGUCUACGCAUGGGUAUUGUAUGGUUAUGGGUAUUUCACCUUGUAGUCCGUGUCUCGAAUCCCCUUCUCUAAAAUCUUGCAUCCACCUCAGAAGCUGAAUAUCUGCCGUCCCUUCCUGUCGCCUGUUGCAGAGGGAGGAAGCCACCAGAUGAGACUGCUGAAACUCAGGCUUCAGAGCAGUUCGAGUUUGGACGAGUUGAACAGUUGUAAAAACGGACAUUUCUAAACGGCUCUUACGGAUCAAAAGUAAACUCUCUCUUCCCUUUGCCUCUUACACAGACGUCUACCGUCAUGCACAGAGACCCAUUAAAUAAGGCACCUGGUGUUUGGCAAGUCUGUCACGCGCAUUUCUGGCGGCUGGCGCGGCUUGCGUGAUUGUCACGCUCUGGAAGAUUGACGACCGAUCCGCUUGUGAACUCAUGACAUACUUUUACCGAGAAUACAAGGCUUCCCGUGAUGCUGCGGUGUCGUUGCAGAAGGCCAUGAAGAUUCUUCAAGCAAAAGACAACACACGAAGUCCUCAGCAUUGGGCUGCAUUCUCAGUUGUCGGCGUUACUGGUGUUCAAAUCUUUCAGCACUAAGCUCCUCACUGAUUGUUGUAUGAGAAUUUAGAAGUGCAUCAUCACCAGUCAAAUUGACAGUGUAUUGAUAUCUUGAGAAAAGAUAAAAUUUAGCCUUGUUUGGUGCUUUAAGAGUUACAAGUAAGUGAACUCUUCGCAGAUAGAACGUAGUUUUCAUUGGGGAAUGCUUUACAGUAAUCUAUGGUAAAAUUGACGUACAACAAACAGAAAUCGACUUAUUCAGGUUUCUAACUAUUUACCCUCAAAAUUCCGGAAAUUUCGGUCAGAAUGUAAUUGCUAAGUCAAUUUUACCUCAACCGAGCGGAAGUUUCCGAAAUAUACGGAGCGUCUUGAAAGGUAGUCCAAAAUUUCUUGCGGCGAAAUAUCCGAAUGGAAAAUGUGCUUACUAUUUGCAAUCCUACACCAGUUCCAGCCGCCAUCUUGGAAUUAUGAUCUGGUUGAACUCAUCGUCGAGUUCUUUCCAGGGGUGGACACAGAGUAGUUCAAAUGAUUUCCAGAAAUCACUCGAAUGUUUC
rnacentral:misc_RNA from 1 species